UCCUCGAUCUGCUGCGGGCAGAUGAAGUGGAUAUGCGCGUCGAAGCCGCCGGCCGUCAGGAUGCGGCCCUCGCCGGCGAUCGCCUCGGUGCCGGGGCCGAUGGGGAUGGUCACGCCGGGCUGCGUGUCGGGGUUGCCGGCCUUGCCGAUCGCCGCGAUGCGGCCGCCCCUCAGGCCUAUGUCGGCCUUGUAGAUGCCGGUCGAAUCGACCACCAGCGCGUUGGUGAUGACGGUGUCAACGGCACCCUCGGCGCGGCUCAUCUGGCUCUGGCCCAUGCCGUCGCGGA
rnacentral:sRNA from 1 species